UACGUAGGGUGCGAGCGUUAAUCGGAAUUACUGGGCGUAAAGGGUGCGUAGGUGGUUGCAUAAGUUAGGUGUGAAAUUCCCGGGCUUAACCUGGGGACUGCGCCUGAUACUGUGUAGCUAGAGUACUGUAGAGGAAAGUGGAAUUUCCGGUGUAGCGGUGAAAUGCGUAGAUAUCGGAAGGAACAUCGGUGGCGAAGGCGACUUUCUGGACAGAUACUGACACUGAGGCACGAAAGCAUGGGGAGCAAACAGG
rnacentral:rRNA from 1 species